rnacentral:tRNA from 1 species
GAGGGUAUAGCUCAGUGGUAGAGUCCAUGCCUAGCAUGCAGGAGGUCCUGGGUUCAAUCCCCAGCACCUCCA